rnacentral:lncRNA from 1 species
GGAGGGGCCAGGAUGCCCAUUUAUGGUGCAGCAUUCACAACAGUGAAGUCACAGGUCCUCAAAAUAGGAAGUAUUUGAGAAAGAAAACCAAGUGUGCAAAGUCAGAAAAAAAAUACACCUGACAUUUAAAGUAAUUAGAAGUGGCCAGGAAAGAAAAUCACCUGAUCACACACUUAACUCCUUAACUAUUCUACCUGGGUCCUGUUCUGCAGCCGGGAUGGAGCCAAGAUAUUCGCUAGGCUUGGAAACUCUGUGCCUGGAGCCCUAGGAAAAAGGGGCUCAAAUGCCCCUUCUGUACGUCUUAUCUGUAUGACUAAGGGGAUAAAACGUGCCACUUUGCUACCUGUGCCACUACUCCUAAUUUUGCCCCCAUACUUCCAUCCUGAGGCCGAAGGGAAUAUACAUGAUCCCUCUUCCACAAAACAGCCCUUCAGACACACGAAGACAGCUCUCCCAUCUCCUGGAAGAUCCUUCUUCCUCUGCAUUUGAUGUUAUUAUUGUCAAGAAGCAUUUAUCAAGCACCUACUAUGAACUGAAGAAAGAAAUGGCAACUACUCCAGUAUCUUUGCCAAGAAAACCCCAAAUGGGGCCAAAAAGAGUCAGACACGCCUGAAAAGACUCACUACCACCACCACCAAUGUGUCAAGCACUGUGAUCAGCCCUGGUAAUAAACAGAAAGGCAAAAACA